GACGGGGCCCGCGACAAGCGGUGGAGUAUGUGGUUUAAUUCGAUGCAACGCGAAGAACCUUACCUGGUCUUGACAUCCCGGAGACCCUUAGGAAACUAGGGGGUGCUUCCAUCUGGAAGAAUCUGGAGACAGGUGCUGCAUGGCUGUCGUCAGCUCGUGUCGUGAGAUGUUGGGUUAAGUCCCGCAACGAGCGCAACCCUUGCCUUUAGUUGCCAGCAGUUCGGCUGGGCACUCUAAAGGGACUGCCGGUGUUAAACCGGAGGAAGGUGGGGAUGACGUCAAGUCCUCAUGGCCUUUAUGACCAGGGCUACACACGUACUACAAUGGCCGAUACAAAGGGCAGCGACACUGCGAGGUGAAGCCAAUCCCGUAAAAUCGGUCUCAGUCCGGAUUGGAGUCUGCAACUCGACUCCAUGAAGUUGGAAUCGCUAGUAAUCGUGGAUCAGCAUGCCACGGUGAAUACGUUCCCGGGCCUU
rnacentral:rRNA from 1 species